CAAAGGGUAGUUUAAAUAAAAUGUUAAUUUUGGGGAUUAAUGAUAAGAAUUUCUUUCCUUUGA
rnacentral:tRNA from 1 species